AAGACUUUUUUGUAAUCUAGUUGCCAAAGUCUUAACCAAAAUUUUAUACACCACAUUACAAAGGAAUACCAGUCCAAGACCCCUUAUAAUGCAGGGGUGAUCAUGUUUGUGGAUGAGAAAAAUAUUAGUAUCACCAAGCACAAUUGAAAGAUUACCUUCGUGAAGCCAUCUGUGUCAAUCCACCAUUACUUCUUUACCGCAAAGAGACUAAAAUCUUUUGUAAAAUGUAUGGUUCAAACCAUCAGGUUUAUACACAGUCAUUCUAUGAUUAAAUUACAUUUAUUGCAUGCCGGUAAACUGAUGGAGUAUUUCAUUUCGUACAAAAAGAAAAAGCAGGGAUCGAUAUCAAUAGCGGUAGAUUACGUGUCUAAUCGACGGUUCGGGAUUGAGUUUGAAAAACGACACGGAUCGACAGUCAUGUUAAAAACCCAACCCAACCCAAACACUAGAUGAACACCAUUGCAAAACAGUAACACACACAAACUCUCUAUCUCCAUUUCAAGAAAAAUAUGGCUCCGGUGAAAUCAGAAGCAGUGGCCGACAACGAGAACGGAAAGACGUAUCCGGUGGUCGGAGACGGAACACGUGCUCGCCGAUUGAUAAAAGCAUUCCUGAAAGGGGGAGUCAUUUCUUUGAUUGUUAACGUGUGCUACCUUUUCCCUCCAUGUUCGUAUUGAUGUGGUAGUAGCAGCAGCUAACAAGAAAAUAUGAUUAAUUAGUAUUAGGGUUUAGGGUAGUAAUAAUAUGUUUGUAUCUAAACCCUAAGCAAGAAAAUAAUUAAUUAGUUAUUAUUAUUAGUACAUGGUUGUAUCUAAACCCUAACCAAUAGUAUUAGAUCAAAUCUGUCUUUGUAAACACUAAGGUGAGAUUAGCACUAAUAGUAGACUACUAGUAGUAGUAGUUACUAUUGUAACAGCAUUAUAAUUUUAGUAGUAUCUAAUUUCUAGUAUGUUGUUUAUAUAUAAUAUAAUUAAUUAAUUGAUUAUCA